rnacentral:rRNA from 1 species
CCUACGGGAGGCAGCAGUCGGGAAUUUUGCGCAAUGGAGGAAACUCUGACGCAGUGACGCCGCGUGCAGGAAGAAGGUUUUCGGAUUGUAAACUGCUUUAGACAGGGAAGAAAAAGGACAGUACCUGUAGAAUAAGCUCCGGCUAACUACGUGCCAGCAGCCGCGGUAAU